AAUGAAGCUUGCUGUUGCCUACGCAUUGAUCGCGUCGAUUUCAUGGGGAGUGGCGACGGUGAGUACAUGUGGGACGGGCUUAGAUCGGAUAACUCCUGGAAAGGGGUGGAGUGCCGAAUGUGAAUUCGGGGAAAGAUUUAUAGCCUUUAGAGCGCCCGGGUCUGAUAGGCUGGUUGGGGAGGGGCUGGCUCACCAAGGCGCCGAUCAGUAGCUGUCUGAGAGAUAACCAGCCCGCUGGGCCUUGAAAAACGGCCAAGACUCCUACGGGAGGCAUCAGUGGGGAAACCUUGGCCAAAGGGCGAAAGCUGAAACGAGCAUGCCGGUUGGGGUGAUGGAGGGCUUAGGAUUGAAAAUUUCUUUUCCCCGAGACGAAAAUGGCGGUCCCCCGAGAAAGAAGCCCCGGGCUACUUUCCUCCCACCAGCCCGCGGGUAUACGGGGGGGGCAGCGUUUGUCGGGAUUACUGGCCUAAAAGCGAACGGGGGGCGAAUGGAAAGUGAGGGGGAAUCCCAGGGUCACCUGGAACUGCCUUUCAUACUGGAAGCUAGGGUCAAAAAAAGUUUGGGGAAUUCCGAGUGUAGGGUAAAUUUGGAAGAUAUUUCGGAGAACCCCCAGGGGGGAGGGGGGGGCACUGUCUGG
rnacentral:rRNA from 1 species